UAUUCAUUGUUAGUCAAAAGGUCAUUUUGUUGUUUUUUGAGCUAUAUUUUUGGACUUCAAGAUCAUUCUUUCAGCGUUCAAGCCAAUCAAGAUGUGAAGCAAAAAGCUUGUAAGAAAAGGUGCAAGUCCUCCUCAACCGUUAACCAGAUCCCACUCUCUCUCAACAAAACAAAAGCAUCUAGGAAGACAUGAAUUCAACAAUGUCAUCCAUAAGACAUUUAGUAACCUCACCUGUCACCUCAUCAUUAAGUAUACAUAAUUAUAUACAUGUUUAUUUUUGCUUGUGUGUAUACACUGUAGUUUUGCAACCACUUACUUUAAACAUUAUAUAAUAUAAUUUAUUGACA